rnacentral:tRNA from 1 species
GCCUCUGUGGCGCAAUUGGCUAGCGCGUUCGGCUGUUAACCGGAAGGCUGGUGGUUCGAUCCCACCCAGUGGCG